ensembl:misc_RNA Metazoa_SRP Metazoan signal recognition particle RNA
GCCAGGCGUGGUUGCGCGUGCCUGUAGUCCCAGCUACUUGGGAGGCUGAGGUGGGAGGAUUUCUUGAGCCCAGGAGUUCUGGGCUGUAGUGCGCUGUGCUGAUCGGGUGUCCUCACUAAGUUCAGCAUCAAUAUGGUGACCUCCCGGGAGCAGGGGACCACCAGGUUGCCUAAGGAGGGGUGAACCAGCCCAGGUGGGAAACGGAGCAGGUCAAAACUCACGUGCUGAUCAGUAGUGGGAUCGUGCCUGUGAAUAGUCACUGCACUCCAGCCUGGGCAACAUAGCGAGACCCCGUCUCU